UACGGAGGGUGCAAGCGUUGUCCGGAUUUAUUGGGUUUAAAGGGUGCGUAGGCGGCUCUUUAAGUCAGUGGUGAAAUACUGCAGCUCAACUGUAGCAUUGCCAUUGAUACUGAAGAGCUUGAGUACAGAUGGGGUAGGCGGAAUUUAUGGUGUAGCGGUGAAAUGCAUAGAUACCAUAAAGAACACCGAUUGCGAAGGCAGCUUACUAAGCUGUAACUGACGCUGAGGCACGAAAGCGUGGGGAGCGAACAGG
rnacentral:rRNA from 1 species